rnacentral:rRNA from 1 species
AUCUUAAUAAGCGGAGGAAAAGAAACUAACUAGGAUUCCCUAAGUAACAGCGAGUGAACAGGGAAGAGCUCAGAGUUAAAAUCGAGACCUUCGGGCUCGAGUUGUACUUUUUAGAGGAUCAUCUGUGGGAGAACCGGGUAUAAGUGCUCUCAGAACGAGCCGUCAAAGAGGGUGAAAAUCCCGUAUUUGACCCGGAUAAACCUCCCUCCAACAGGGAUUCCUCGUAGAGUCAGGCUGUUUGGGAUUGCAGCCCAAAGUGGGUGGUAGGCUUCAUCUAAAGCUAAAUAUUUGCAAGAGACCGAUAGCGCACAAGUA